UGGCCCAGGGCCCGGCCGGGGAAGGCGUUGUUUUGCCAGCGGGAGCCGAGCGAGUGCGCAGAGAAAAGCCUCCCUGCUCUAAUGAGAGUGCACACAGCGCUGCAGCGAGGAGGAUGAUUACCCGGCGGGCGGGGGGGCGCGGGGCCGGGCCGCGGGCGGCGUGUGCGGCGGCCCCGCGGGCCCGGAGUCCCCGCCUGUCUGGCUGCUAAUCGCACGCUUUCUGCUGUUACGGGGGCAGGCGGGAGCCGGCGGCCAAGCCCAGCGCCGGCGACUCGGCGGGUGACACGGAAACAUGGCGCAGCGCCCCUCCCCCGCCCGCCCGCCCGCCCUCCCUGCGCUCCCGCCUCCCGCCUCGCACUUCCUCCCGCCCGCGAGGCUUUUGCAGUUCUAAUGCUCUGCUGUCCGCCCGGCACCAUUACGCUAGCAGCCGCUUCUCGGCCGCCGCGCGCGUCUCUUUCCCUUUUGUUUUCGGGGUCUAUAGAAAACGUUUGCUUUUGUCCCGAGCUCUCGUUAAACCAAACUUGUGGUGGCAACGGAAGGCGGUGCGGGCGGGGAGGGGCCCGGGGAUUUUGGCAGCAGCCGACCAGAGCGUGGUGGAAACUUCUCUCGCUGGGUUCCCCGCCCCCCCGCCUUCCCCCCCCUCCCCUCUUACACACAGGCCAGUCGGCCUACCAACGCUUCCCCCCUUCUCCCCCUGAGAGGCCUCAGCGCUCCAGGAAGGAGGUCUGGGCUAGAGGGACUGUGACCAGGGGUGAAGAGCCUAGGGUGCGUGUCCGUGGGCCCCGAGUUUUUGGCACUCGGUGACCUCGCUCCUUGAAGUCUUGACUUGCCUCUCCCUCCCUUUGGUCAUUCGGGGCUUUGUAUCAGCCGAUGGAGAAGGAAGGGGAGGGAAGAGAAGAAAGUGGUUCACGUGUGUGGUUUUUAUAUUAAGGGUUUGUUGGAAUCUCUCACCUCCAACUGUAUAGCCUCUUUUAUAGGAUCUAUGGAGAGAAGGGGGAAGGUGGGCCCCACGGGGGGAAAGGGUCAGGAACCUAGACCUGGGAGCUGGAUCUUACUCUACCGGUCGGCUCAGCUACAGCCCGGUCCGCAAGCGGGGUGGGGGGACAUUGCAGAGAGGGGAACGGACAGGAGGGCCGGGUCCCUCGAUCCAGGAGACGCCAAACCUCCCUCCCCCGGUCGAGAGCGCAGGUCCCCCUGGCGCGCUCCCCAGCCCAGAGCGCACGCCGUGGCUCCGCACCGGAGCUGCUCAGGCGGCAAUUUUUUAAGCCUGCAAUUAAGCGAGGCGUCGCCGUGUCCUCUGCUAGUGUCGAUCCUGUCAGUCGCACAUGGCCUUGGUGCUCCGGUCCGAGGCCCCGCGAUUAGUCACAGGCUCGCUUCGCUCCUUCCCUAAUCCGCCUCUGCAGGCAGCCUGGGGACGCGGCCGACUUGGCGGCGCUGGCAGGGAGCCACUGCGCGCGGGGCGGGCCGCCUGGCCAGUACCAGCCCCGCUGUGCCCGAGUCGGCGCGGGUCCCAGGGUGCGGGCUUGGGACUCCCUCCUCCCUUCACAGCCCCCAGGCUGGGGCGGCAGCGCCCCUCCUCCUCUCGCCCCACUCCCGGGCCUGCGAGAUCUAUUUGUGUGGUGUCAUUUGCAUAAAAAUAGGACAAGUGUUUCAGUGCGUUCGAACGCGGGAGGCGAAAUUCUUAUUGAUGUGUCUGUGUGGAGCCCUCGGUUGUCGGAGCGGUUUGAUUUAGGGUGUUUGUGUUGCCUUCUGCGAGGAAUGAGAGGAAAUCCUGCGCAACGCCUUCGGCGGCCCAGCCCCCACAGAGCAUCCCCCUCUGCACGGCCCGGAACGGUCCACCGCCUGGACCCCGGCGCGCCGAGUCCACAGCGAGUAGGCUGAGGGCCAGGCGGGCGACCCAUUAUGACUCAUAAAACUGGGCGGCCUAAUCACCAGCUGCCAACCCGUUUACGUGUGGCGCUUCCCAAUGUUCCCUUCGCCCGGCCCGGGCCUCCAGCAGGUUCGCCCCGGACACGGCUAGAGCCGCUCAGUGGGGGCUAAUCAAGUGGUCGCUCGUUCCCGUCAGCAGCGCGGCUUCCCUUCCCGGGCGACCCCCGCGCUCCCGGCCUUUGCGCUGCUCGCCAGCAACUCCUCAGCUUGGACAAAUAGCUGGGAGGGCGCCGGCCGCGCGGAGCCAGUAAAUCAAUCAUUAACUCCCCGGCGAGGCCUGGCCAGGGGAGGGAGCGGCGGCCAGAACCGAGUCAGCGGGGCGAGAGCGAGGCCCCCACCCCGGGUUGGGAGCCGUCCACGCGCCAGCAGACAGGGUGCGUGAAAGUGGGUCCCCCCGGGGCCUCCAGAUCCCCUCCAGAAGCCUCCGCCUGCCGGGCCUUUCAAGCCCGCACCUCGCCUCGCCAGUCAGGUCGGGUUACUGUGCGGCCCCCGCGCAGGCUGGAACAUUAACGAGCCGCCCCGGGCCUCGCGGCCUGCUCUCCCCAGGAGAGCCUGCCGCGCUUGGGCAAGCUCUUCGGAUCCGGUCGGGCUCCUCCAGACACUGGCUUGCCAAACCAAACCGAUCGCCCCCGUGUCGACUAGUCUCCCAGCGGCACCCUCCCCACGGAGCCCACCGUGGGGCGGCACGCAGGGGGUUAAAAGCUCCGGUUCGCCCUGGCUCCUCCGCGGCGCUGAGGAAACGCUGAUCAAAGUGCUUACGGGGAAGGAAACACACACGCACACUUGGGCCUGGGUCGAAGAAGAGCGACCGGAGGGACGGCUCGGGAGCCGCCUGCCUCGACCCGCUUCCCACACUCCCGGGAACGCGACGGCGGCGGCGGCCCGCGCGAUUCUCUCCGCGGAGCUCGGCGCGGCGGGGCCGGGAGGCCGGCGGGGAGGGGGAUGGAACGAGGGGGAGGGAGGCGAGCCCGGGCUGCGCGCCAAGAGGCCCAGAGCCGCAGAUUAGUCACCGUUCGGCUGGGCGCUCACGGGUGCGCCCGGGAACCGGGAGGGCAGGCGUCGGCCCCGCUCCGCCGGGCUCCCGGGGGCUCGGCGCCGCGGCGCGGGUGCCCCCGCCCCCACCCCUGCGCGCGCCCGGCGCGGCUGGAUGAACUCUCGGGGGCUCGCGCUGCGGAGAUCCACUUGUCAGUUCAAGGGCAGGACAGAAACUCUGCAAGCAGAGUCUUGCGAACAGGAAAUUUCUCAUUGACAAGGUCUCGGUUGAUGUGCUGUGUUCACCAUGGGAACCUAAGAAUUUAUCAUCUGUGUGAAGAGUUGCCUUCCUCUCAGAUGAGGAAACUGAGGCUUAGAGGAUAAUUAACUUGCCUGCUUGCCUGGACACUCAUUGCCUGAUUCCUAGAGCCUAAACUUUGAUCCACGCAGUCUUUCCAACUCUCCAGGCACCUGUGGUCAACGUCAUGACUCUGCCAAUUCCACAGGCGCAUCAUAAUUGGGUGCUUCCUUUGGAUCUAAAGGAAAUGGCCUUCACUGCAUGCUGGCAUGCCAACGAUGCCCUCUGAGGACAUGACGACAGUGAAUUUGUCCCAAAGGUCUCUCUGAGAUGCCUCUCGUGUUCUGUCGCUUUCCAAGAUGCAGCCUGUUCAGGGUAAGCAGAAGCUCUGGGAUGACCCCCGUGACGGAGUGUGGUCACAUCCCCGCCCUGGUCUCUUUGACAAAGCAUGCUGGCCAGUCGGCGGAUGCCCUCACCAGUUCAAUGCCAGUGGUUGCGCCGGGACCUUCCUGCCCUAUUUGCUGGCACAGGGAGCGUGCAGGAGGGAAGAUCGAUCUCCGAGAUAAUUCAGGUUCUGUCUUUCUUCAAACCAGCCUCUGUCCUCUGCUCUAGCUCCGCCGACAAUGAUUAAUGCGCCACUGACUAUUUCCUUUCUUCGGCUUCUCCCUGGCUUUGGGGUUUAUUUCACAGCCUUUGCCAGGGUUUCUCCUCAGCAGAGAGUAAAUACUUGGAGAUUGGAGCACAGCCCUUGGUGUUACUCAGAAAGCGUCCCAGGCAGCAGGUGGAACGGGGCCAUCCCUGGAGUAGGUGAUGCCACUGUUUAGGGUUCAGUGCUAACCCACCACCUCCACCAAUGAAAGCCUAAUCUUUUAAUUAUUCUGAAAAUACCCAAACUAAGGAUGGCAGGGAAGGCAAUUAAUAGGAUUCAUACGGUCUAGUCCUCAUUUGUAAUUAUAUAUUAUUAUUUUUCUCCCUACUUUGUUCCAAUAAUGAUUUAAGGCUGCUUCCAAAGAUACACAAAACCCAGCAAAGAUAAAUAGAGUGGGACGUGAAUUAUAAUGUCAUGCCCACUCACAACCUCUGUGCUCCGUUCCACAUAUAGAACUGAAUUCAUAACGCCUUUCAAAAAGGAGGUAAUUGGGACUUCCAUGGUGGGGCAGUAGUUAAGAAUUCGCCUGCCAAUGCAGGGGACACGGGUUCGAGCCCUGGUCCGGGAAGA